UACGGGGGGGGCAAGCGUUGUUCGGAAUUACUGGGCGUAAAGGGCGCGUAGGCGGUUUGCUAAGUUGAACGUGAAAACUCUGGGCUUAACCCAGAGCCUGCAUUCAAUACUGGCAGGCUAGAGUUCUGGAGGGGAUAGCGGAAUUCCUGGUGUAGCGGUGAAAUGCGCAGAUAUCAGGAAGAACACCAAUGGCGAAGGCAGCUCUCUGGGACGGUACUGACGCUGAGACGCGAAAGCGUGGGGAGCGAACAGG
rnacentral:rRNA from 1 species